rnacentral:rRNA from 1 species
UAGAGUUUGAUCAUGGCUCAGGUGAAGUCGUAACAAGGUAACCGUAAGUCGUAACAAGGUAACCGUAGAGUUUGAUCCUGGCUCAGGAAAGUCGGAACA